GACGAACGCUGGCGGCGCGCCUAACACAUGCAAGUCGAACGAGCGAGAGGAGGUUUACUUUCUCAAGCGAGUGGCGAACGGGUGAGUAACGCGUGAGGAACCUGCCUCAAAGAGGGGGACAACAAUUGGAAACGACUGCUAAUACCGCAUAAGCCCACGACCCGGCAUCGGGUAGAGAGAAAAGGAGCAAUCCGCUUUGAGAUGGCCUCGCGUCCGAUUAGCUAGUUGGUGAGGUAAUGGCCCACCAAGGCGACGAUCGGUAGCCGGACUGAGAGGUUGAACGGCCACAUUGGGACUGAGACACGGCCCAGACUCCUACGGGAGGCAGCAGUGGGGAAUACUGCACAAUGGGGGAAACCCUGAUGCAGCGACGCCGCGUGGAGGAAGAAGGUCUUCGGAUUGUAAACUCCUGUUGUUGAGGAAGAUAAUGACGGUACUCAACAAGGAAGUGACGGCUAACUACGUG
rnacentral:rRNA from 1 species